UGUGUAUAUACGAUCGAUCAGGGGCAGAGGGUGAGGUGAAACCCUAGUUUCACCAAAAUCCAUUAAAUUGAAGGGGGAUUGAAGGGCUAAACUAAUGCAUGAACCAAGAUUGUCGAUCACUUUAGUGUUUCUACCAUCAUGAUCAUGUUUAGAGGGGAAAGCAUGGAAGGCAAACGGAAAAGGGAUGAGGAAGCAUGUACGAAACGGACACUCGAGGUAAGUGAUUCUAAUUUCACUUCUUAGCUUAUUUUAAAUAAGGUAGUGUUCUAGAUAAUUGAGUAUGUUACGAAGUCAAACAUGGAUUUGGUUGAAUGAAAACGAUGGUUCUCGCUAAGUGGAUCGAAUGGGUCAAAUGAGGUUUUGUUGUCAUAACAUAAUGAAGUGUAAGUAAGUUCCGAACCUCUUUUUAGUAUUUAGAAAGAUUUGUUAAUUUUGUCAUAUGUUGCGAAUAGUGAGAUAUGUAAGAACGUAAGAUCAAAUGAAGUUCUAAGUUUAGUUUUGUGGUAAUGGGUCAAAAAUGUUAACUAAGUCGGAAAGUGUGUAUUAAAGAUCAAACGGGUCAAAACUAGGUAGCGGGGUAAGGUAAGGUUUCGACCAUUAAGGCAUGAGUGUUAGUAUUAGAAUGAUUUGGGGGCUUGGACAAAUGUUAUUUUACGUUUUGGGACGUUCGAGGUGCACGAACAGGGGUCAAAACAGUGAAAA